rnacentral:rRNA from 1 species
GACGAACGCUGGCGGCGUGCUUAACACAUGCAAGUCGAACGGAAAGGCCCUGCUUUUGUGGGGUGCUCGAGUGGCGAACGGGUGAGUAACACGUGAGUAACCUGCCCUUGACUUUGGGAUAACUUCAGGAAACUGGGGCUAAUACCGGAUAGGAGCUCCUGCUGCAUGGUGGGGGUUGGAAAGUUUCGGCGGUUGGGGAUGGACUCGCGGCUUAUCAGCUUGUUGGUGGGGUAGUGGCUUACCAAGGCUUUGACGGGUAGCCGGCCUGAGAGGGUGACCGGCCACAUUGGGACUGAGAUACGGCCCAGACUCCUACGGGAGGCAGCAGUGGGGAAUAUUGCACAAUGGGCGGAGGCCUGAUGCAGCAACGCCGCGUGCGGGAUGACGGCCUUCGGGUUGUAAACCGCUUUCGCCUGUGACGAAGCGUGAGUGACGGUAAUGGGUAAAGAAGCACCGGCUAACUACGUGCCAGCAGCCGCGGUGAUACGUAGGGUGCGAGCGUUGUCCGGAUUUAUUGGGCGUAAAGGGCUCGUAGGUGGUUGAUCGCGUCGGAAGUGUAAUCUUGGGGCUUAACCCUGAGCGUGCUUUCGAUACGGGUUGACUUGAGGAAGGUAGGGGAGAAUGGAAUUCCUGGUGGAGCGGUGGAAUGCGCAGAUAUCAGGAGGAACACCAGUGGCGAAGGCGGUUCUCUGGGCCUUUCCUGACGCUGAGGAGCGAAAGCGUGGGGAGCGAACAGGCUUAGAUACCCUGGUAGUCCACGCUGUAAACGGUGGGUACUAGGUGUGGGGUCCAUUCCACGGGUUCCGUGCCGUAGCUAACGCUUUAAGUACCCCGCCUGGGGAGUACGGCCGCAAGGCUAAAACUCAAAGGAAUUGACGGGGCCCCGCACAAGCGGCGGAGCAUGCGGAUUAAUUCGAUGCAACGCGUAGAACCUUACCUGGGUUUGACAUGGAUCGGGAGCGCUCAGAGAUGGGUGUGCCUCUUUUGGGGUCGGUUCACAGGUGGUGCAUGGCUGUCGUCAGCUCGUGUCGUGAGAUGUUGGGUUAAGUCCCGCAACGAGCGCAACCCUUGUUCACUGUUGCCAGCACGUUAUGGUGGGGACUCAGUGGAGACCGCCGGGGUCAACUCGGAGGAAGGUGGGGAUGACGUCAAGUCAUCAUGCCCCUUAUGUCCAGGGCUUCACGCAUGCUACAAUGGCUGGUACAGAGAGUGGCGAGCCUGUGAGGGUGAGCGAAUCUCGGAAAGCCGGUCUCAGUUCGGAUUGGGGUCUGCAACUCGACCUCAUGAAGUCGGAGUCGCUAGUAAUCGCAGAUCAGCAACGCUGCGGUGAAUAAGUUCCCGGG